GGGGCAUUAGCUCAAAGGAAGAGCCUUCGGUUCCGAACCGAGAGGUGGAGGUUCGAGUCCUCCAUGCCCUAC
rnacentral:tRNA from 1 species